UGCGUAGGCGGCUUACUAAGUCAGAUGUGAAAGCCCCGGGCUUAACCUGGGAACUGCAUUUGAUACUGGUAGGCUAGAGUAUAAUAGAGGGGGUAGAAUUCCUGGUGUAGCGGUGAAAUGCGUAGAUAUCAGGAGGAAUACCAGUGGCGAAGGCGGCCCCCUGGAUCAAUACUGACGCUGAGGUACGAAAGCGUGGGUAGCGAACA
rnacentral:rRNA from 1 species